AGAGAGAGACAUGCGCGCAUAUCAAUAAGCGGAGGAAAAGAAACUAACAAGGAUUCCCUUAGUAACGGCGAGUGAAGCGGGAAGAGCUCAAAUUUGAAAUCUUCAAGGUUUACCUUGACGAAUUGUAGUUUAAAGAAGUGUUUUCUGUUGAGUUUUGGUAAAAGUUCUUUGGAAUAGGACAUCAUAGAGGGUGAGAAUCCCGUAUUUGACCAUUAUUUCCAGCUUUGUGAUACACUUUCAAAGAGUCGGAUUGUUUGGGAAUGCAGUCCAAAAUGGGUGGUAAAUUUCAUCUAAAGCUAAAUACUGGCGAGAGACCGAUAGCGAACAAGUACCGUGAGGGAAAGAUGAAAAGAACUUUGAAAAGAGAGUUAAACAGUACGUGAAAUUGUCAAAAGGGAAGCGUUUGACACCAGUGUUGUUUUCUCGAAAAUCAAUUAAAAAAGGCAGGAUUUUGUGUUGUAUUGACUUUAUCAGCUUUCUGCACUCUUUUCUUGUCUUUUUUAAUGCACUUUUCGUUUAACAAGUCAACAUCAAUUUCUUUUGUUGUAAAAGGGUCAUUGGAAGGUGGCUUUCUUUUCGGAGAAAGUGUUUAUAGCCUUUGGCCUCUGCAAUCGGAGAGAUUGAGGUCUGCAGCGUAGAUCCUUCGGGGUUAGAUACAUUUGUGCUAAGUUAUAGCAUUUUAUAGACAACUUGUUGACUAUGAUCAGUCAUGUAGCUUACUCGCUUAUGCUAUUUUACCUACGCUUAGGAUGUUGAUGUGAUACUGCGAGCA
rnacentral:rRNA from 1 species